rnacentral:rRNA from 1 species
AUGCGUCCUUGGAUUGCUGUGGCAUAUUCAGCUCCUGUUGCAGCUGCUACUGCUGUUUUCUUGAUUUACCCUAUUGGUCAAGGAAGCUUUUCUGAUGGUAUGCCUUUAGGAAUCUCUGGUACUUUCAACUUUAUGAUUGUAUUCCAGGCAGAGCACAACAUCCUUAUGCAUCCAUUCCAUAUGUUAGGUGUAGCUAGUGUAUUCGGCGGUUCCCUAUUCAGUGCUAUGCAUGGUUCCUUGGUAACCUCUAGUUAG